rnacentral:sRNA from 1 species
UAGGGAUUGAAAUGAAAAUCCUUUUGUGAAGCAAAGCGGAACAAAAGAUUGCAAUUGUAAAGCCCGACUCGCA